GACGAACGCUGGCGGCGUGCUUAACACAUGCAAGUCGAACGGAAAGGCCCUGCUUUUGUGGGGUGCUCGAGUGGCGAACGGGUGAGUAACACGUGAGUAACCUGCCCUUGACUUUGGGAUAACUUCAGGAAACUGGGGCUAAUACCGGAUAGGAGCUCCUGCUGCAUGGUGGGGGUUGGAAAGUUUCGGCGGUUGGGGAUGGACUCGCGGCUUAUCAGCUUGUUGGUGGGGUAGUGGCUUACCAAGGCUUUGACGGGUAGCCGGCCUGAGAGGGUGACCGGCCACAUUGGGACUGAGAUACGGCCCAGACUCCUACGGGAGGCAGCAGUGGGGAAUAUUGCACAAUGGGCGGAAGCCUGAUGCAGCAACGCCGCGUGCGGGAUGACGGCCUUCGGGUUGUAAACCGCUUUCGCCUGUGACGAAGCGUGAGUGGCGGUAAUGGGUAAAGAAGCACCGGCUAUCUACGUG
rnacentral:rRNA from 1 species